CCUACGGGAGGCAGCAGUGGGGAAUAUUGGACAAUGGGCGAAAGCCUGAUCCAGCAAUUCCGCGUGUGUGAAGGAGGCCUUCGGGUUGUAAAGCACUUUAGUGGGGGAAGAAACAGCUUGGCCACACCAAGCCUUGACGGUACCCCAAGAAUAAGCACCGGCUAACUCUGUGCCAGCAGCCGCGGUAAUACAGAGGGUGCAAGCGUUAAUCGGAUUUACUGGGCGUAAAGGGUGCGUAGGUGGCUAUUUAAGUCGGAUGUGAAAGCCCGGGGCUCAACCUCGGAAUUGCAUUCGAUACUGAGUGGCUAGAGUUCGGUAGAGGGCGGCGGAAUUUCCGGUGUAGCGGUGAAAUGCGUAGAUAUCGGAAGGAACAUCAAUGGCGAAGGCAGCCGCCUGGGCCUGGACUGACACUGAGGCACGAAAGCGUGGGUAGCAAACAGGAUUAGAUACCCUGGUAGUCCACGCCGUAAACGAUGAGAACUUGACGUUGGUUCGUUUUACGAAUCGGUGUCGCNGCUACGCGAUAAGUUACUCCGUCCGUCGGGAGGUACGGCCGGCCGACGGUUAGGUAACGUAACGAAAGGAAGUUAGACGGUCGUGAGACGUCGCCGACGGACGACGACGAGGGAGGAGG
rnacentral:rRNA from 1 species